UGCGCAGGCGGUUUUUGUAAGUCAGAUGUGAAAUCCCCGGGCUCAACCUGGGAAUGGCAUUUGAGACUGCAAGGCUAGAGUGUGUCAGAGGGGGGUAGAAUUCCACGUGUAGCAGUGAAAUGCGUAGAGAUGUGGAGGAACACCGAUGGCGAAGGCAGCCCCCUGGGAUAACACUGACGCUCAUGCACGAAAGCGUGGGGAGCAAACAGGAUUAGAUACCCUGGUAGUCCACGCCCUAACGAUGUCGACUAGUUGUCGGGUCUUAAUUGACUUGGUAACGCAGCUAACGCGUGAAGUCGACCGCCUGGGGAGUACGGUCGCAAGAUUAAA
rnacentral:rRNA from 1 species